rnacentral:rRNA from 1 species
AGUGAACGCUGGCGGUAGGCCUAACACAUGCAAGUCGAACGGCAGCACAGUAAGAGCUUGCUCUUACGGGUGGCGAGUGGCGGACGGGUGAGGAAUACAUCGGAAUCUACUUUUUCGUGGGGGAUAACGUAGGGAAACUUACGCUAAUACCGCAUACGACCUACGGGUGGAAGCAGGGGAUCUUCGGACCUUGCGCGAUUGAAUGAGCCGAUGUCGGAUUAGCUAGUUGGCGGGGUAAAGGCCCACCAAGGCGACGAUCCGUAGCUGGUCUGAGAGGAUGAUCAGCCACACUGGAACUGAGACACGGUCCAGACUCCUACGGGAGGCAGCAGUGGGGAAUAUUGGACAAAGGGCGCAAGCCUGAUCCAGCCAUACCGCGUGGGUGAAGAAGGCCUUCGGGUUGUAAAGCCCUUUUGUUGGGAAAGAAAGGCAGCAGGUUAAUACCCCGCUGUUCUGACGGUACCCAAAGAAUAAGCACCGGCUAACUUCGUG